rnacentral:rRNA from 1 species
CGGGGUGCCCAGGCGCGAAAACUUUGCACUGCGGGAAACCGUGACAAGGGAACUCUGAGUGCCCGUUAAAUCGGGCUGUCCAUCGGUUUAACAACCGGUGAAGAAAGGGCCGGGCAAGACCGGUGCCAGCCGCCGCGGUAAUACCGGCGGCUCGAGUGGUGGCCACUAUUACUGGGCUUAAAGCGUUCGUAGCUGGUUUGUUAAGUCUCUGGGGAAAUCUUCCGGCUCAACCGGAAGGCGUCUCAGGGAUACUGGCAGACUAGGGACCGGGAGAGGUGAGAGGUACUCCAGGGGUAGGAGUGAAAUCCUGUAAUCCUUGGGGGACCACCUGUGGCGAAGGCGUCUCACCAGAACGGCUCCGACAGUGAGGGACGAAAGCUGGGGGAGCAAACCGGAUUAGAUACCCGGGUAGUCCCAGCUGUAAACGAUGCGCGUUAGGUGUAUCGGUGACCACGAGUCACCGAGGUGCCGAAGAGAAAUCGUGAAACGUGCCGCCUGGGAAGUACGGUCGCAAGGCUGAAACUUAAAGGAAUUGGCGGGGGAGCAC